AGAAAGUCUGGUUUCCGUGUCUAACGUUUGACCGUCCGUCUUAUUUGAAAAAAUUAUAAAAAAAAUUAAAAAGACAAGUCACACAUAAAAUAUUAAUCACGUUUUAUCAUCUAACAAUAAUAAAAUAUAAAUUAUAAAAAAAUUUUAUAUAAGACGAAUAAUUAAAGUUGAAUACGAAAAGCCAGUGUUUACAUUUUUU
rfam:Oryza rufipogon genomic scaffold, chr06